UACGUAGGGUGCAGCGUUGUCCGGAAUUAUUGGGCGUAAAGAGCUCGUAGGCGGUCUGUCGCGUCUGCUGUGAAAACUCAGGGCUUAACUCUGAGCUUGCAGUGGGUACGGGCAGACUAGAGUGCGGUAGGGGAGACUGGAAUUCCUGGUGUAGCGGUGAAAUGCGCAGAUAUCAGGAGGGAACACCGGUGGGCGAAGGCGGGUCUCUGGGCCGUAACUGACGC
rnacentral:rRNA from 1 species